rnacentral:lncRNA from 1 species
AUCCCAACUGAAAGAUAGGCGUGAGAUUUAAAACUUUCUGAAGCACAAACCAGUGGGAACUCACUCUUCCCGAUCGAACCUCCACUAUUUCUGUUUGGGACGGUGAUGGGAGCAAAGAGAAGGCUGCAAAUGGAUUAAGGGACUGUAUGCUUCAAAACAAGUAGGGGGAUGAUUUCAGCAAUACAGUUUUACUGGGACAACGGACAGCUUCAGAUGAAGAGGAAAGUGACUUUGUCCUUUUGCUUGUUAAGGUCUUCUUCCUCCGAAGUGUUGUCUGGAAAACUCAUCUACUGUCGUGUCCGUGUGGAGCAGCUCACUGACCCCAGGCUUAAACCACCCUUCUGCUUGAGUUCUUGA